rnacentral:rRNA from 1 species
GACGAACGCUGGCGGCGUGCUUAACACAUGCAAGUCGAGCGGUGAAGGGGUCUGCUUUUGUGGUCCUUGGAUGAGUGGCGAACGGGUGAGUAACACGUGAGUAACCUGCCCCCUUCUUCUGGAUAACCGCCUGAAAGUGUGGCUAAUACGGGCUAUCCUGGGUCUGUCGCAUGAUGGGUCUGUGAAAGAUUGCGCCUUUCGGUGCUUUUGGUGGGGGAUGGGCUCGCGGCCUAUCGGCUUGUUGGUGGGGGGAUGGCCUACCAAGGUGGUCACGGGGAGCGGGCCUGGGAGGGUGGACGGUGACACGGAGACGGAGACACGGCCCACAGUCGUACUGGAGGGAGAAGUGGUGAGUAUUGCGCAUUGAGAGCAAGCACGAGGCAGGGACGCCGCGUGAGGGAUGGCGGCCUUCGGGUUGGACACCUCUUUCGCCAGUGAAGCAGUCCUGUUCCAUGUGGGUGGGUUGACGGUAGCUGGAUAAGAGGCUCCGGCUAACUAGGUG